rnacentral:lncRNA from 1 species
UUUACUCUUGAGUAGGCCCACAAACGAGUAUACACUCACAGUUGGGACCACACUCCGAUGAUCAACAUAAGCAUCCUUUUAAGCGAAGCGUUCAUUUGCAGCUAGGCCCACAAGGAGCAUCUUUCACAUCUCAUUGGAGUAGGCAACACGAUGGAUGGAGAUAGGUAGUCACUUAAUCCAGCUCACGUUCAAACAGUAG